rnacentral:rRNA from 1 species
AUUGAACGCUGGCGGCAGGCCUAACACAUGCAAGUCGAACGGACCCUUCGGGGUUAGUGGCGGACGGGUGAGUAACACGUGGGAACGUGCCUUUAAGUUCGGAAUAAGCCCGGGAAACUGGGUCUAAUACCGAAUGUGCCCUUCGGGGGAAAGAUUUAUCGCCUUUAGAGCGGCCCGCGUCUGAUUAGCUAGUUGGUGAGGUAAAGGCUCACCAAGGCGACGAUCAGUAGCUGGUCUGAGAGGAUGAUCAGCCACACUGGGACUGAGACACGGCCCAGACUCCUACGGGAGGCAGCAGUGGGGAAUCUUGCGCAAUGGGCGAAAGCCUGACGCAGCCAUGCCGCGUGAAUGAUGAAGGUCUUAGGAUUGUAAAAUUCUUUUACCAGGGACGAUAAUGACGGUACCUGGAGAAAAAGCCCCGGCUAACUACGUGCCAGCCGCCGCGGUAAAAC